UAAUGUCACGUGUUUUAGGGAGCAAAGUACACACUACUCACAAACACGCUCACAGUUUGUGUUUAUUGGAUUUGUGUCCACAUAGUUUCCCCGAGAAAACAGUGGCAGCAAAUAAGACUAUGGCUGUUACCUACUCUCCGUGCUGUAUACUGUUUAGUACCUACUAUUCAGUAGGCACACACAGUAGGCAGAUAUUUGUUCCUACUUCGUCUGAUUCAUUCAGUAUGGAAGUGGCGUCAUUUACGUUACCCGAACCGGCCGCAUCCACCCGUUUUUUUUUUUGUUUAGCUUUAUUCAAGAAGAGUAAUGCGCAUAUACAGUCAGGCAAACAAAAAACAAUAUCACAAGUAAAAGACAGAUUAAAUAACA